rnacentral:lncRNA from 1 species
AGAGGUCCCAAUAGAAACACUCUUUCAUUAAUUAUUAUUAUUGAAUUCUAACAUACUAUAACUUUCAUUUUGUUCGGUAAAGGAUAAAUUUCAUCGUGAUGGGGAUAGAUCAUUGCAAUUGUUGGUCUUCAACGAGGAAUUCCUAGUAAGCGCGAGUCAUCAGCUCGCGUUGACUACGUCCCUGCCCUUUGUACAUACCGCCCGUCGCUCCUACCGAUUGAAUGGUCCGGUAAAGUUUUCGGAUCGCGGCGAUGUGGGCGGUUCGC